rnacentral:lncRNA from 1 species
UGAGUUUCCUUCAAGCGAUCACCUGUACAACCACUUUUAGCAAGACGAUCGCUGCAGCAAAAUCAAUCAAGUUAAUGACUCUUUGGCCAGGUUGGUCUGUUUUCUUCAACCAAAAAAAUGGGAGCUAUACUUUCUCAGGAUUAGUUAUUUGGCAUGCAAAAUAUUUGUUUAAAAAGGGAUUGUCGCGAGUCUGAAAGAGAGCAUAAGGAACACUAUAUUUUGGUAGAUCUUGGUAUGAUAAUAGUGAAUGUUCCAUUCUACCUCAUUAGAUUUGGAUAUCUUUAAUGUAAAUACAAAAUGGCCUCUAGACGGUUGUUCAUUCAUAUGAGUCUUACCCACAGGUCCAUUUAAAUGCAGAUAACAUUAUCAUAUUCAAUACAGAUAUGCAGUUAUAGGGAUAUAUGUUGAAUUAGAAAGCCACUAUCAACAGAGCAUUUACACAAUCAACUUUGUGUUUGUUGUAUACAUAUAAUAAAUAUUUAAGCUUUAUUAGGACAGUAGGACCUAGGUCACCAACUGAAUAGGCUUCACUUUUGAGAACUUGAUUAUGCGGGUAUUUUGUACAGAAUUUGACAGCUACUCUUCCUAAGUAAAGCAAUGGUAUGACCGUAUGAGGUUGUGAAAUGUUAAAGAGAGGUUCUAUAAAUACUUGGCAUAAUGGUAUUCCUCGUAGGCAGUCUAAUUCAAGGAACAUAAAAGGCAUAUAUUGUGAUUACCUCCAUGACCAUCAAAAACAUCGAAGAACGUUGUCUCGCUACCAAGAUCUAGCAUUGUUGAAUGAUGUAUGGAUGUAUAGAUUGGUAAAUAUUAUGUCGUGGAACAAUUUUAAGAAAUAGUCUGACCGAUAAAAAUGGUAGGCAUCUUUAAAAAAUAACCAUGCUUGUAGUGUGAUGUUGAACGUACUAAAAUCAAUGUAUUAAACAUAUUAAAUGAGAUCAAAGGAUGAAAGGAAUAUGGAUUUAGUAUCAAAAGAGAGCUAAUGCCUGUAGUCUAUGACAAAUCAUUGGUUCACUCUUUACAGUGUGAUAUUGAACUUAUUAAAAUCAUUGUGUUAAACAGAUAGAAUGAGAUGAAAGGAAUAUGGUUUCAGUAUUGUUACAACUUGGUGCAAAAAUAAUAAUUGAUUUUUUGGAAGAUAAUUAGUGGUUGUUAGAUUCUUUCACUUAUUUUAAUGAGGGAGAUUUUUUCUGUCAUUUCUUAUAAAUAAAUACAAAAAGAUUUAUUGGGUUGCAUGUCAUUUCUUUUCCUAUACCUAUUUUUUUUGUAUUUAUAUGUGCAAAGAACAAAUUUAGUAUGUCAUUGAUCUGGAAAUACAUGGUAACCAAACACUCACCUAAGUUCACCUGUGGAGCCACUUUUAGCAAGACGCUUACUCCCUGCUGCUAAAUCAAUCAAGGACUACUUGGAUAUGUUGUCAUGUGUCGUGCAAUAAAAACAGAAUCCUUCUAGCCCCAGUGAACACCCUGUCCCUGAAGUAAUUGCGGCUUGGAUGGCUUUGACUGGGAGAGGGGGAAUCACGGCCAUGAAAUCAAUACCCUCCCUUUGAGAUGAUAAUGAUUGCUUUAUCUGUUCAAAGAUCUCAAAUAAUCCAUGCAUCAUACCCACAAAUUAACAAUAUCCUAUGCCAAAUAUCAGCAAGCCUCUACAGACGAAGCCAAGAAGCACCCUCAGCGGGAGUGCCUGCCCAUGUCCAUUUAUAUAUGACAUGUACCUGAAAAGGCCAGACAUGCACUUCUAAGACAUAGUAACAUACAUUUGGGAAGUUUCAAAUAAGAACAUUUGUGUAAAUAAAAAAUGCAUUCGAAGGAGCACUGUCGAAGCAGAGCAGCUACUAAUCUUGAACGGAAACCAGCUGUCAUAUCUUUGCAUGGUGUUGAGAAGAUUACCAAGCUAGAAAUUGUGUAAAUAAAAAAUGCAUUCGGAGGAGCACCGUCGAUGCAGAGCAGCUACUAAUCUUGAACGGAAACCGACUGUCAUAUCUUUGCAUGAUGUUGAGAAAGAUUAUCAAGCUAAAAUAGGAUUCAAAACAGAACUUCACUAUACCUGCAACAGCUUCAAUCCCUAGCUCCAGUUUUACGCUCCUAUUGGUUGCCGACUAUGGCAGGAACGCGCCGACGCGGGCCUCAGCGGAAGGGGCGAGGAGGCGGAGGGGGUGCAGGAGGCGGAGCUCGUCGCCACCACGGUAAAGAUGUCGCCAAGCUGGACGGCGAGGGUGGACCCGGCGGCCCAUGAGGUGGAGGCGGCAGAUGGAGAGUCGGGGCUACGGGGCAUGAGGCCGACGAGGUGGAGCACGGAGAAAGCCGAUCCACGACGCGAUGCUUCUAGGAGCAAUGGACAGCAGGCCGGUGGGUUCUUUUCCUCACCCGGUUCGUUCGCCAUCUGGAACCAUCGAGGCUAUUCCAGGAUUUGAGGAGUUUUUUCUCGGAUACUCAUGUGUCCUUCUUGAACCUGUUGGUGAAUUAUGGAAAAAAUAGUGAGUUGGUACAUAUAUUUUCAUUUAUGGACUGAUUUGUUUUUGAAUCUUUUUUUCACAAAUGGAACUUUAUGUAAAGAUACAAGAAGAACUUUAAGCAGAAUCAUAAGUGCAGGUUUUGACUCACCAUUAUCAUAACAAUUGUUUUAUAGAUUAUUGUUAAGUCUUAACAAAGUAGAACAUGACAUACAUGAUGCCUGUGAAGUUUGUUGUGUCCUAGAAUUAGAGCAUUAGACUGGAAAUAGUAUGGUAUGCACAUUGGACAUGAAGCGUCUGUUCGGCAUACAAUAUAGUGAGAUUACUAAUUAGAAAUAGCAGCUAGGCAAGGCGUAAUGCCUUAAAUCAAGUAUUCUCUUUAGGCCCAUUGAGAACGAAAGUCACUUUCUUCAAAGUAAAGCAGUAGAACUCUGUCUAAACUUGUGUUUCCUUAAUUAAAAAAAUUGUAUGGUGACCAGAAUCACUAAAAAAUUUGAAAAUUUAUGGUAACCAAACACUCACCUGAGUUUCCUUCAAGCGAUCACCUGUACAACCACUUUUAGCAAGACGAUCGCUGCAGCAAAAUCAAUCAAGUUAAUGACUCUUUGGCCAGGUUGGUCUGUUUUCUUCAACCAAAAAAAUGGGAGCUAUACUUUCUCAGGAUUAGUUAUUUGGCAUGCAAAAUAUUUGUUUAAAAAGGGAUUGUCGCGAGUCUGAAAGAGAGCAUAAGGAACACUAUAUUUUGGUAGAUCUUGGUAUGAUAAUAGUGAAUGUUCCAUUCUACCUCAUUAGAUUUGGAUAUCUUUAAUGUAAAUACAAAAUGGCCUCUAGACGGCUGUUCAUUCAUAUGAGUCUUACCCACAGGUCCAUUUAAAUGCAGAUAACAUUAUCAUAUUCAAUACAGAUAUGCAGUUAUAGGGAUAUAUGUUGAAUUAGAAAGCCACUAUCAACAGAGCAUUUACACAAUCAACUUUGUGUUUGUUGUAUACAUAUAAUAAAUAUUUAAGCUUUAUUAGGAUAGUAGGACCUAGGUCACCAACAGAAUAGGCUUCACUUUUGAGAACUUGAUUAUGCGGGUAUUUUGUACAGAAUUUGACAGCUACUCUUCCUAAGUAAAGCAAUGGUAUGACCGUAUGAGGUUGUGAAAUGUUAAAGAGAGGUUCUAUAAAUACUUGGCAUAAUGGUAUUCCUCGUAGGCAGUCUAAUUCAAGGAACAUAAAAGGCAUAUAUUGUGAUUACCUCCAUGACCAUCAAAAACAUCGAAGAACGUUGUCUCGCUACCAAGAUCUAGCAUUGUUGAAUGAUGUAUGGAUGUAUAGAUUGGUAAAUAUUAUGUCGUGGAACAAUUUUAAGAAAUAGUCUGACCGAUAAAAAUGGUAGGCAUCUUUAAAAAAUAACCAUGCUUGUAGUGUGAUGUUGAACGUACUAAAAGCAAUGUAUUAAACAUAUUAAAUGAGAUCAAAGGAUGAAAGGAAUAUGGAUUUAGUAUCAAAAGAGAGCUAAUGCCUGUAGUCUAUGACAAAUCAUUGGUUCACUCUUUACAGUGUGAUAUUGAACUUAUUAAAAUCAUUGUGUUAAACAAAUAAAAUGAGAUGAAAGGAAUAUGGUUUCAGUAUUGUUACAACUU